GGGCAGCGCCAAGAUGGCGGCGCGCUGCCAGUACUCAACAUGGCGCCUGCGCCCGCGGUUGUGGCCGAAGUAAGAGUGUCGAUGUUUCCGCGGUUAUAUUACCUUAGCGGUGCUAAAAACGAGGGGAAAGCUCGUGCGUUGGCGGAUGAGAGGAGUGCAGUGCUGUAGGGAAUGUCCUUCCUGGAUGACAUCUGAUAGCAACUGAUCUGCAAUUUUUGUGUAAUUCUGUUAAUGGGAAAAGGCACUGAGGAGCUGCAAGAAUGAAUUGGCCUCCCUGUGAGUCACGAGGUCUUAAACUUAGCAAUUCAGCUGUGCAAUAAGCAUGUGAUCUCAUCAGCAUGCCAGGAGAAAUUCCCAGAGCGCCUGAUCCUCAACAGUUGGUUGGGAGCACCCCCAGACCGGGGUUGUUUUGUGGCUGGAUGGAAUUGGCUGUGAGUCCCGGUAGAAAUGAGCUCAUCCCAAGGAGUGAGCUCUGCCUGGUGUCCCCUGACCUCUGUGGGAACAGUGUGUGUGCAGCCUGCAGAGCACUGAUUUCAUGGAAUACAUGUUUACCAGCUGCAGCCAAGAUUUAUUGCCCAAUUCUGAGUGCUGUGGGGUGGCCUGUGCUGUCGCUGAGGUGAGGAGGCAGUUAGAGCUGGCAGUGCCUUGCAGUUCUAAUGUUCAGCCUGUAACAGUUUCUUCAGUUGCUUGCAACAAUUUGUUUUCACUGAGAAUGCUUAUUUCUCCAUUUUAUUCAGAGUGUAAACGUUUCAGGCGCAGGGAUAAAUGUUACGUGGAGGGAUGGAGGCCAAAUACAUCAAGAGUGGCCCUAAAAGCAAGUAAUGCCUUUUAAGUGCUACCCUACUGUUGACAUAGGAAAGCUUUUAGGAGGUGAAGUUUUUGGAAAGUAGCUUUGCAAAGGUGGUAACUGUUACCUCCCCAGGGCACCUUAAAGCAGGAUGGUGCUCUGUUGUCUGAGGUUGUCAGGCCUGGUGUGAUGAUGGGUCGUGGAUCUGGUGUCCUGUGGGAAAAUGGCAUCCAUAGCUAACAGAGAGCAGAGGGUGCUCUUGGCAAUAAAAUACAUGGGACAUCUAAUUAUCUAAUGAUUACACAACUAUGAUCUUAUACUGUGCACUGAAACAGAGAUUCUUUGCACACUCUUCAGUUUGUAUAAGUUUUUGCUCUUUUUGUUUGAAUCCUUAAAUUGAAAAUAAUUCAGUCCAGGUAUUCUUAAGCCAGAGGAUGAAAUAGGGAUACUUAAGGUUUGUACCUAAGAUGUCUUUAAUAUUUCUGCAAAUGUUUCAAUUUCCAUGCAGUUCUCUGGUUUUCAUUGUGAAUAUGAAGAAAUAUGGGGGGAAAUUUAAUCUACUGCCUUUUGAUGAUGUGCAGAAGCACAACCAGUCCUGUAACAGAUGAGUAACUUGGUUGCCCAGAGAGGCUGUAGAUCCCCAUCCCUGGAAGUGUCCAAAGCCAGGUUGGACAGGGCUUGGAGUAACCUGGGCUAGUGGAAGGUGUCCCUGCUCAUGGCAGGGGGUGGAACAAGAUGACCUUCAAAAAUCCUUUCCAACCCAAACUAUUCCGUGAUUCUGUGAAAUAAAAACCACUUUAAAUAUGAUCUGCACAGAAACAUUCAAAACUGACAUGUCUUUUGAAGAAUCACAAUAUCAAUUUUGGAUAAUAAAUUUAAGCAUAAUCAUCAAAAUGUGAAACAGAAGGAUUUUAGCAACACAUUCCUAAUUUAGAACUUUCUUCUCUGCUGUUUCCACAUUGGUCAAUGCAACUGUGGCUGUUGUAUCCAGGUGGAAUAAGCUGGGAGGUUUGCACAGCUUUUUAGUAUGAAGAUACUCAUUCAAAGGAACAGGAAAGAAGAUGUCAAAUAAUGCUGCAUUCCAGCAUGGAACUGCAAGGAAAUGCAAAUUCUUAGGUCGAAUAGGGAUUGCUCUGGAAUGGUUGUGGUGCUUUUAAAAAGCUUGGGUUAACAUGCUAAUGUGAAAUGUGAGAGUGUUUUGAAUGAAGAGGAGAGAGACACAGAAAAUGAUUAGCAAAGCUAUUACAGUUCUUACUUCAAGCUAGGAUUAGUGAUUUUUUUCAGGGUAUAUGUAAAUAAUCAGCAGCUUAUUUUUCUUUAAAUGGGCAGUAAGAAAGUUGCUGUUUGCUUUCAUUAUGGUAAAGGUAAGGAAUUCUUGAUUUCUUUUACCUCAGUGACAACUUGCCUGUAGUCUGUAAAUUAAAGAAAAAAAGCCCACAUUAUUUUUA